UUUCUUCUUCUUGUCAUCUUUCUCAUUUAAUACCAUUUUCUCUCUCUACCAUUAAAUCUCACCAAACCUUUUCAAAACUCACCAGAUCAUUUCCUCCAUCAUCUCUCUUCUCUAGCACACUUUUCCCUCUUUCCCUCUCUCUCUUGUUCCAUUAUAGAGAAAACAAGAACAAAAAUGAAAUCGGAGAAACUGAUGAGCAUUAGAUCGAUGUAGACGCCAUCUAGAUCUAGAUCUGGACCGUCAUCUAGACCUGGAUCCAUCAUGUUUCUUUUAAACCCGUCAAGAUCUAGAUCUGGAUCGCAGGUGGGUGGUGAUCAUUGAAGGUUGAUGAAGGAUGGUGGCAACUGGUGGUCCGGUGGUAGUGGUGGUUGUUGGGAGCUACGGUGGUGGAGGGUCUAGCUGAAAACAUGAAUAAUCAAAGCCAAAGCCAAUUUCAGAUCUUGUUCAAGAAGGUGAAUAAGUAUGUUUUUUUCAGCUUUGUUUGGAAAUCUACACUUUGAAGAUGAUGUUUCAGAUGUCGAAGAUGAUGUUGAAGAUGUUGAAGAUGAUUCAAAAGAUGUUUGUGUUAGAAAUGUAACAAUCAAUCAAAGCAAAAAUGCCUGAGAUUUAUGUAGACUUUUUGCUGUGUUGAAUCUGAGAAUUUUAUAUGUUAUGGAUUUUUUGGUUUUGUUUUUACCAUGUUACAUUUUAUUUUUGCC